rnacentral:piRNA from 1 species
UGAAUUUGUACGUUUACAAACCAGUA